UAAUGGCUCUACAACUGGCUACUAAAAUGUGGAUCUCCUUGAAAAGGAGACCAGUGCAGGGAUGCAUAUUUCAAGGGAAAGAGCUGCUACAAUUCAUCGCACUUUUCCAUCCCAUGGUUGUUUUGAAGGGUGGAGUCGGUUCUGGGUACAAAAGCUUAAUUUCAGA